CUUGAGAAAAAAACCAGGUGACCAAGAGGUAGGAAUGGGAAGGAGAGUUUUCCCUCUGUGUCCCUUCAUGUUUUUGAAAUGCAGAACCUUCUAACUACAUGGCCUAUAAAAAAAAAAAUAAGUAAAAUAAACACAGUUAAGUGACACUGUGGUUCUUGGCAGGGAGCCAACGUUGUCAUGGUCACUGGCUGCAGCUGUUACACUGGCGUGGUCACCUACAGUGACAUCUACUGGUGCUUCCUAACAGCACUGUUAGGUCAGUAUUUUUCAAACUUGAUUUCAAAGUGGGCCAUGGAACCAAUGUAGUGGGUCCAACCAGCAUUAAAAAAGAAAGAAAGAAAGAAAGAAAGAAAGAAUAGAAAAUAUCAGAGUACAUAACAAGUAGUAAAGGAAGUCACCAUCUUCGGUGGGGACCUUUCUCAGACAAUCUAUUCUUCCACAAUUCUCCUUGAGCAACCAAGAUAUUAACGGGGAAGACUUGAAGUUUCUAUGCUGCUUGAUCCAGAAUUUUCUCACCAUGGAUGUGGGGUUCUCACCUUUGAAGGAAAUGGAAACGGUACAAACCAGCAUUUGAGUGAAUGAACACUGAAAAUGCAUGCUGCAACCAACCACUGGAUCAGGGUACAAGACAAAUAAUGGUUCUAGUGGAACUUGGGGGAAAAGCACUUUUACAUGGAAUUUAAUAUAUUGUUCCCUGACUUAUCUUUGUUUAUGAUUCUAUAGUUGGAUAAUUGUUUUCCUCAAUCCUAUGACAAAAAGAGUUGGAGGCGUCAGGAAGAGCAAGAACAAUUUGGCUCUCAGUGAAUUUUUAAUAAACAAUGUGUUGCAUCAAGAACAAUUAAAUGCUUUUAAAUGUAAGAUAAUUUUACUUAGACAAAUGGUUUUUGAGAAGUACUUUCAAGACAGA
rnacentral:lncRNA from 1 species